rnacentral:tRNA from 1 species
GGCACCGUAGCUCAGCUGGUUAGAGCGUAGGACUCAUAAGCCUAAGGUCACAGGUUCAAGCCCUGUCGGUGCUACCA